rnacentral:ribozyme from 1 species
CUAAAAAGUCAACAACAAUACCACAUACAAUGCAACAAAAUGAAAUGAGCAUGUUGCCAAAAAAAGAGAUCACAAGAUCAAUCAGAACAGAAUCAGGCGAGACAGCCUUCUUCUCA